UAUUAGUAUGAUUAUCCCACACAAUUCGAGCUGACAUUUUUAUCCGCUUCAACAGCAACCGAAAGAAUCAAAUCAAGCCACACACACAACACAAUUAAGCAGGGAUUAGAUGACUAACAAUGGAUAAGAAAGAAUCUGGCAAGCAGACCUCUGAGGAUGCGACUCAUCAUGUGACAAUCAUGUCUGCUCUUCUUUCGCGGAUGAAGAUUUUCCGUCCAACAACUUGUGGUUUACUCUUCUUUGUGAGAUGGUGUGUUGCAAUUCUUCCUUUCCCCAAAUACCGUAAUUCUUGCUGGCAUAAUCAAAUCAAUACAGAAUGUUUAUGGGAACCGAAAUAAGCAUCACUGAUGUAAUUUUUUCGUUGGAUGUAUAUGAUUGGCUAUUGUCUAUCUAAUGUAAGCUGUAACAGUUAUUUGUAGGAUGAAUAGACUAAAUAAUAGGCAAUUAGAUGAUUGCUGGCGAUUCAUGCCAUAUUUUCACUGCAUCUGCUACCCGUAUUUUCAGGAAAUAAUGGCAUUGCAUAUGUGUCUCUAUUCCGUUGGCCUGUGUCAUCAUAGCAGCUUGCUCUCAUGCGGUCCUUGUUUUUGACCGUUUGAGCCGAUUUAGUCACGCUAGUGGAUUUGUUUCUGGUGUGCACGGUAAUUGACUAGAUUUUGAGGGAGCUUAUGUUAUCUUGUUAAUGUUGUGGACUUGUGGUCCAGGGCAGAUAAACACUCAUUUAUCUUUUGCUGUCAAGAACAGAAACUACAGUGAGAGAAGGGAAUUCCUGUGAAACACACUUUUAUUCCCACCCCCAUGAAAUUAGAAUGAUUUGGUUGAGCACUAGUAGAGGUCAAGAGUUGCAAUAUUUACAAAUCGUGAAAAGGGAAGGAUGCAAAACCAUUGAAGAUCUAGAUCUGGUAUACAUAGCCCACUGUAUUCAAAGGUGUGUUGUUAUCUUGAUAAAGAAGAAGUGGUUUGUGUUGAAAAAAGGUCCACACUAGUAGGGUUUAGGGAUUCUGGGUCAGCAGACAACAUCAAGCACACUGCCAACACACUCACUGAUGUAAAGUUGAACUGAUUCAUGACUUUUUUCUUACAGCCAUGUUAAAAAUUUAUCAUUUGAUCGUGCA